rnacentral:rRNA from 2 species
UUAACCUUCGGGAGGGCGCUUACCACUUUGUGAUUCAUGACUGGGGUGAAGUCGUAACAAGGUAACCGUAGGGGAACCUGCGGUUGGAUCACCUCCUUACCUUAAAGAA